rnacentral:tRNA from 2 species
GGAGAGAUGUCCGAGGGGUUGAAGGAGCACGCUUGGAAAGCGUGUGUAGGGGUAAUCCUCCUACCGUGGGUUCGAAUCCCACUCUCUCCGCCA